rnacentral:rRNA from 1 species
UACGUAGGGUGCAAGCGUUGUCCGGAAUUAUUGGGCGUAAAGAGCUCGUAGGCGGUCUGUCGCGUCGGCUGUGAAAACCUGGGGCUCAACCCCAGGCCUGCAGUCGAUACGGGCAGACUAGAGUCCGGCAGGGGAGACUGGAAUUCCUGGUGUAGCGGUGAAAUGCGCAGAUAUCAGGAGGAACACCGGUGGCGAAGGCGGGUCUCUGGGCCGGAACUGACGCUGAGGAGCGAAAGCGUGGGGAGCAAACAGG